rnacentral:rRNA from 1 species
AACGAACGCUGGCGGCAUGCCUAACACAUGCAAGUCGAACGAGACCUCCGGGUCUAGUGGCGCACGGGUGCGUAACGCGUGGGAACCUGCCCUUAGGUUCGGAAUAACUCCCCGAAAGGGGUGCUAAUACCGGAUAAUUUCUUCGGACCAAAGAUUUAUCGCCUUUGGAUGGGCCCGCGUUGGAUUAGCUGGUUGGUAGGGUAAAAGCCUACCAAGGCGACGAUCCAUAGCUGGUCUGAGAGGAUGAUCAGCCACACUGGGACUGAGACACGGCCCAGACUCCUACGGGAGGGAGGAGAGGGGAAUAUUGGACAAUGGGCGAAAGCCUGAUCCAGCAAUGCCGCGUGAGUGAUGAAGGCCUUAGGGUUGUAAAGCUCUUUUACCCGGGAUGAUAAUGACGGUACCGGGAGAAUAAGCACCGGCUAACUCCGUG